GAUGAAGAACGCAGCGAAAUGCGAUAAGUAAUGUGAAUUGCAGAAUUCAGUGAAUCAUCGAAUCUUUGAACGCACAUUGCGCCCCUUGGUAUUCCGAGGGGCAUGCCUGUUCGAGCGUCAUUUCACCACUCAAGCCUGGCUUGGUGUUGGGCGACGUCCCCUUUGGGGACGCGCCUCGAAACGCUCGGCGGCGUGGCACCGGCUUUAAGCGUAGCAGAAUCUUUCGCUUUGGAAGUCGGGGCCCCGUCUGCCGGAAGACCUACUCGCAAGGUUGACCUCGGAUCAGGCAGGGAUACCCGCUGAACUUAAGCAUAUCAAUAAGCGGAGGA
rnacentral:misc_RNA from 1 species